rnacentral:tRNA from 1 species
GUGGUGGCUCAGUGGUAGAGUAGCUUGCCUAGCGUGCAUGAGGCACUGGGUUCGAUCCUCGGCAUCACA